GGAGGCUCUAUUGGAGGUUAUCACCACUGCAUACAAACCAACGGCUCAGGUUGGGACGCAUUCAUAGCCAUAUCAAGCACAAACUAGGAAUAAUAUAAAUCAUAUGAGGAAAAAAUAAUUUCAUUCUUAAAACGGCUUAAUUUUAAUGCACCGAAUACAAUAAUCAUGGUCAUAGUCUCUGCUGUAUUAAGUCAAACUCAUCAGGGUAUUCGGUUAAAUCUCAAACCUGAAGCAUGUAUCUUCUUCUCCUACUAUAAUGCCGAAUGAAGGUCCAUUACCAGCUAAAAAAGUCCAAGAACUUUGAUUCCUGCAAGUCGUAGCAAUGGAAUGGAGCACA
rnacentral:misc_RNA from 1 species